ACUCAAAUGAAUUGACGGGGACCUGCACAAGCGGAGGAGCGUGUGGUUUAAUUCGACAAUAAGCGAAGAACCUUACCCAGGCUUGACAUCUCUAGAAGUCCCGAGAAACCGGGAUGUGCCGCAAGGAACUAGAUGACAGGUGCUGCACGGUUGUCGUCAGCUCGUGCCGUGAGGUGUCCCGUUCAGUCGGUUAACGAGCGCAACCCCUAUCCUGUGUUAUACAUGUCACAGGAAACUGCCCCAGUUAAUGGGGAGGAAGGUGGGGACGACGUCAAAUCAGCGUGGCUCUUACGCCUGGGGCCACACACGCGCUACAAUGGGAAGGACAAUGGGUUGCCAAACCGUGAGGUGGAGCUAAUCCCACCAAACCUUCCCCCAGUUCGGAUUGAAGGCUGCAACUCGCCUUCAUGAAGUCGGAUUCGCUAGUAACGGCCAGUCAGCCAUAUGGCCGUGAAUACGUUCUCAGGUCUUGUACACACCGCCCGU
rnacentral:rRNA from 1 species